rnacentral:tRNA from 1 species
ACAAACUUUGCUUACGCUUAAAGCUUGCCUUAUUAACAAUAAGACGUGAGGAUACUUUACAAAUUUCUUCUAAUGGUUCAAGUCCAUUUGCUCGUA